AGAAAUGUCCCCGAGACUUUGCUAAGAAGCAAUCUUUAUAGGAGCUGAUUGCAAGCUUUUCCCCCACCUAAGUCAUUCAACCCACCAAAUCAAACCCAAUGUCGAUUCUUUUGUGGAAAGACCAACAGAGGCAUUUGCUUUCAGAUAUCAAGGCUAGUAAUGCACCAGUUAUGCUGUACCAGUUGUUUGAUCAAACACUAGACACAUGAUGAAAACCUUCCACAGCUUAGCCUGGAAGCUCUGCUAAAACCUGAGACCCACGUGUGCUCUUGCUGGCACUUGAAGUACUGGUGGCAUGGCUUUCAGAAUUACAGCAGCAUGUGAAUCAGUACAGAUCA